AUCUUAAAUUCAAAUUUAGUUUCAAGCGAUAAAUUUUUAUUAUGCACCUGUACAUAAAAAUAAUGCAUGACUAUUGGGUAUCCUUGCUCUCAAGCUCAGAAUUAGAUUCACUCUCAUCAACCACUUGACCUUCCCAAUCCUUCAUUUCAUAUACUCUCUACAUGCAGUCUUUACAUAUUCUAUUUACCAACAAAUACAUUGUGUGGUGGUCUGUUAAAUUAAGCUUCAUCUGUCACUCAUCAAUAUUCUUUUGGAAAUCAUCAAGAUGAUGGAAAGUGAUCAGGUGAAGAAAGCAGAAGAGAGUAAGACUAGAGGUCUAGUGGAUAUUGUGUUUUCUUGGUCUUUCCAUGAUGCUCUCAACAAAAAUCUUUACAUGGGAAAGGUGAAUAAGAUUCCUACAACAUUCUUCUCAGUAGAGGAGUACAAGAAGUCAUUUAUGAAUCCUCUUAUUGAGGAGACACAUGCAGACUUACUCUCUAAUAUAAUGAAGGUGAAUCAUGCACCAUUGUUUGAAAUAGUGGAUAUCAAUAUGUCAGAAGGGUUUAAGCCUCCCAGAGAUCUGUUUUAUGAUAUUGUUUUGAGAAAAAUAGGAAGAAAAAAUGAAAAUGAAGAAAAUGAUGAACUUCAGAUGUUUGAUCUUAUUGCCUUAACAGACAUAAGGCCAAGGUAUGUAGCUGAUUUG